rnacentral:rRNA from 1 species
AAUUUUGGACAAUGGGGGAAACCCUGAUCCAGUAAUGCCUCGUGCAGUAUGAAGGCCUNAGGUUUNANAACUGCUUUUGUACGGANCGAAUAGUCUUGGGCUAAUACUCUGGGAUCAUGACUGUAUUGUAAGAAGAAGAACCGGCUAACUACGUACCAUGAGCCGCGGUAAUACGUAGGGUGCAAGCGUUAACAGGAAUUACUGGGCGUAAAGCGUGCGCAGUCGGUUUUGUAAGACAGUGCUGAAAUCCCCGGGAUCAACCUGGGAACUGCCAUAGUGACUGCAAGGCUGGAGUGCGGCAGAGGGGGAUGGAAUUACGCGUGUAGCAGUGAAAUGCGUAGAUAUGCGGAGGAACACCGAUGGCGAAGGCAAUCCCCUGGGCCUGCACUGACGCUCAUGCACGAAAGCGUGGGGAGCAAACAGG